GCCUCAUUAGUUCUUUUUGUAAAACAGGUAUCAAGGAGGAUAAUCAAAUUCCAAGGAAUGGUAAUGCAUCAACUGUUUCAUCACUCAACUCCUAUCACCUAAUGCAGCAUAUAAGUGAUAAAAGUUUUAAAACAACAAGGAGGUGGCAAAUGCACCGGGGCUUGCCUGGAAUAACACUAGGUUAGUGUUUGUUAGACGACGUCCACUUGGCGAUCAGCUUUUGGUCUGGCACUUGUUCGGGUCAUCCAUCCUUAAGUUCGUUCGUCCGCAUCGCCUUGCGAAGAAGCCCACGAUUAACAACAUCUUGUGGUCGACUCAGCCCUGGUCCUUCGCAUCAAGCGCUCAACUAGCGCACCUAAUGAAAUGCAAAAUGCACAUGUAUGAAUAUAAGAAAUAGCACAAUACUAGACAACGUUACACGGUCGAGGAUUACACGCU
rnacentral:lncRNA from 1 species